rnacentral:rRNA from 1 species
GACGAACGCUGGCGGCGUGCUUAACACAUGCAAGUCGAACGGAAAGGCCCUGCUUUUGUGGGGUGCUCGAGUGGCGAACGGGUGAGUAACACGUGAGUAACCUGCCCUUGACUUUGGGAUAACUUCAGGAAACUGGGGCUAAUACCGGAUAGGAGCUCCUGCUGCAUGGUGGGGGUUGGAAAGUUUCGGCGGUUGGGGAUGGACUCGCGGCUUAUCAGCUUGUUGGUGGGGUAGUGGCUUACCAAGGCUUUGACGGGUAGCCGGCCUGAGAGGGUGACCGGCCACAUUGGGACUGAGAUACGGCCCAGACUCCUACGGGAGGCAGCAGUGGGGAAUAUUGCACAAUGGGCGGAAGCCUGAUGCAGCAACGCCGCGUGCGGGAUGACGGCCUUCGGGUUGUAAACCGAUUUCGCCUGUGACGAAGCGUGAGUGACGGUAAUGGGUAAAGAAGCACCGGCUAACUACGCG